CCUACGGGAGGCAGCAGUGGGGAAUAUUGGGCAAUGGGCGCAAGCCUGACCCAGCAACGCCGCGUGAAGGAAGAAGGCUUUCGGGUUGUAAACUUCUUUUCUCAGGGACGAAGAAAGUGACGGUACCUGAGGAAUAAGCCACGGCUAACUACGUGCCAGCAGCCGCGGUAAUACGUAGGUGGCAAGCGUUAUCCGGAUUUAUUGGGUGUAAAGGGCGUGUAGGCGGGAGCGCAAGUCAGAUGUGAAAACUCAGGGCUCAACCCUGAGCCUGCAUUUGAAACUGUGUUUCUUGAGUGCUGGGGAGGCAAUCGGAAUUCCGUGUGUAGCGGUGAGAUGCGUAGAUAUACGGAGGAACACCAGUGGCGAAGGCGGAUUGCUGGACAGUAACUGACGCUGAGGCGCGAAAGCGUGGGGAGCAAACAGGAUUAGAUACCCCGGUAGUC
rnacentral:rRNA from 1 species